rnacentral:lncRNA from 1 species
UCAAAAACUCCUUUUGCCAUUUGGCUUUUAUUAUGAAAAAUUUAAAUAAUAGUGGUUACCCAUAAAAAACACCAAUACACCAAAGUUUUUGAGAAGAACUACGGUGCUCUAAUUCUUUUUGAUACGUAGGCAUUGGUUUGCAAGACCUAAGCGAGCACAAUAAUAAAAUCUUUUCUUUUUCUUUGUUAAUAAUUCAUUUUCAUGCAUUCCCUUCGCAACCUAGCUUUAGACUUGACACACCCUUUAAUUAGAACAACAAGAGUGGAUCCUGUAGAGUACUAUAGACGUGAGGGGUGCUAAUACCUUCCCUUGCGUAAUCGACUCCCUUACCCAUCUCUGGGUUGCGAG